UGCUCACUUUGUCAGCAAUAUACUAAAAUUGGAAUGAUACAGAGAUUAGCAUGGCCCCUGUGCAAGGUUGACACGCAAAUUCGUGAAGUGUUCCAUGUUUUA